rnacentral:rRNA from 1 species
AGACCCGAAACCCGGUGAUCUAGCCAUGGGCAGGUUGAAGGUUGGGUAACACUAACUGGAGGACCGAACCGACUAAUGUUGAAAAAUUAGCGGAUGACCUGUGGCUGGGGGUGAAAGGCCAAUCAAACCGGGAGAUAGCUGGUUCUCCCCGAAAGCUAUUUAGGUAGCGCCUCGUGAAUUCAUCUCCGGGGGUAGAGCACUGUUUCGGCUAGGGGGCCAUCCCGGCUUACCAACCCGAUGCAAACUGCGAAUACCGGAGAAUGUUAUCACGGGAGACACACGGCGGGUGCUAACGUCCGUCGUGAAGAGGGAAACAACCCAGACCGCCAGCUAAGGUCCCAAAGUCAUGGUUAAGUGGGAAACGAUGUGGGAAGGCCCAGACAGCCAGGAUGUUGGCUUAGAAGCAGCCAUCAUUUAAAGAAAGCGUAAUAGCUCACUGGUCGAGUCGGCCUGCGCGGAAGAUGUAACGGGGCUAAACCAUGCACCGAAGCUGCGGCAGCGAACGUAUCACCCAAGACAACUUUACGGAGUUGACGAUUGACGGAGCGAAGCGACGUCAAAGCGUUCAUUAAAGUCGAGUUGGCUUAGGGAUACGUUCGUUGGGUAGGGGAGCGUUCUGUAAGCCUGUGAAGGUGUGUCGUGAGGCAUGCUGGAGGUAUCAGAAGUGCGAAUGCUGACAUAAGUAACGAUAAAGCGGGUGAAAAGCCCGCUCGCCGGAAGACCAAGGGUUCCUGUCCAACGUUAAUCGGGGCAGGGUGAGUCGACCCCUAAGGCGAGGCCGAAAGGCGUAGUCGAUGGGAAACGGGUUAAUAUUCCCGUACUUGGUGUUACUGCGAAGGGGGGACGGAGAAGGCUAUGUUGGCCGGGCGACGGUUGUCCCGGUUUAAGCGUGUAGGUGUGUGUUCCAGGUAAAUCCGGUUCACUUUAACACUGAGGCGUGACGACGAGGCACUACGGUGCUGAAGCAACAAAUGCCCUGCUUCCAGGAAAAGCCUCUAAGCAUCAGGUAACACGAAAUCGUACCCCAAACCGACACAGGUGGUCAGGU